rnacentral:rRNA from 1 species
CACCGCGGUUAUACGAGUAACUCAUAUUAAUACUUUCCCGGCGUAAAGAGUGAUUUAAGGAAUACCUGCCAAUAACUAAAGUUAAGACCUUAUCAGGCUGUCACACGCACCCACAAGCGGAAUUGUCAACAACGAAAGUGACUUUAUUACCCCUAGAAAUCUUGAUGUCACGACAGUUAGACCC